CCCCCGCCCCGCCCCGCCGGGCGCGGCUCUGCCCCGCUCCGUCCGGAGCACUCGGAAACCCUGGGGCUUUAAUAAUGGGCCAAAAUACGCACCCAGGCACCACUGCUAAAUACUGCUGGAAACGUGAAGCCUACGGAUGGAAAAAGCUCCAAAGCAACACGUAGAGUUAUUUGGAAAAGAGGGAAGAGGUUGUUCUCAUCUCCAUCUUAGCCUCCAGACGCAACCCAGGAGAAUUUUGCAACACAGAGAAUGAUGAAUCGUCAUCAUAAACAGGAAUACUGUGGGGGCAGAAGUACUUAUAAAAAGGGAUUUACGUGCUCAUCAAUAUACUCAUCUACUCACAUGUGUUGGUUCCAGGAGCAAGUAAAGGGAUCCUAAAACUGCAAGACAUCUGGAGGAGUGCCCAGACAGGAACUGGACUGAGGUGGUAUAGUGGGAAGAAAUGGAAAUAAGACUGUAAAAAUUGAUUGAAGAAAUGGAGGAGCAAUAUUUGGGGAAAGGAGAAGAUAAGAAGCACAAGAUACCAUUCGAGGCAUUUUUUCCUGCAGAAAGCAGUAAAAACCCUAUAAGCGAUCUAUUUUCACUCUCCAGUCUGUUGUUGAUACCAAAAUGACUCACAGGACUCAGGAUGUUUAAAGUACAAACAAAAAACUGGAUGAAAAGCCAUUUGUCAGAUAAGCUUGUUGCUUGUUAAUAUGGUUAUCUGUUGUCAGGCAGCUGUGGUUAGAGUCACAGCAGGGCCUGGUAUUACAGCAAGUCUAAGUGCAAGCACUUUCAGCAAAAAAAUAGUUCAGAAAUUUAAUUGCAGAGUUUUGAAUCCGCUCUGCUUGGCAAAGGCCUUCUCUCAUAGUCUGCUUAAAGACAGAAGUGGUCUGCAAAUGCAUCAGAACUGAAGCUACUUGUUUUGCCCUGUUGAUAAUGCCUCACUGGUAUUAUGGUUAUCUGCACCAUCUGAUACUGCAUUUUUCUCACUCUGAUUAGGAAAGACUCACAGAAGUGAAUCAGAGAAGGGGGGCAAUAUGAUGGGGGGAUAAUGGUGCACAGCAAGAUUUGUUCUUUUGUGUCCUAAGUUAGAAACAUAGUGUGCUGCCCUGUGACACAUCCAAUCUGCCUCUGACCAUCUAAGAACAUGCCUCACUCACUGCUGUGACUGCUUGUCAGGUUUCACACUCUGUGAGCUGAUGGGGAGGGAGUGAGUUAUGUUGCUUCCAGCCAGGAGUGUUCACUCCAAGAUGAUUCAUUUGCAGACACGUCAUGGUUUUGAUGUGCCUGGCACACAGCUGCAGUAACAUCUUUACAUACCUGUAUUGGGUAACAUUCAGCUGCCCCCUUUUCUUGCAGGUCCUCCCCAAAAUGUGGUCCUGGCUGGUGAGAUCUUGUUUCACAAAUGAUGGGAAGAGGGCAGGUUACAGUCAAGGUACAGCUUGGUUUAGGAUGGUGAACGUGAGAUUUGUGCACUUGGAUACUCUCCAGGGACAUCAUUGUUACCUUGGUUACAUACUUCCCAUUUUCACAUUUAAUGAAUGAAAAUAUAAUCCAAUAAUAGCUAAGUUAAAAAAAGAAAGAACACUUCAAAACCAGGCUUUAACAAAAUGUGGGGGUUUUUUAACUUGAUCCUACUAAAAAUACAGGUAGAGAAUCUACCUCCUGCUCCCAGCAUAAAGAUUUCUCCCACUAUUUUACAAUAUAGAUUGUAAUAAUACAAAUAAAGAUUUUGUAGGCUUCAUUCAGCCUUCAACACCUGAAUGUUCAAUUUCAUAGAUUUUACAGAGCUGAGUUUUGCAGAUAUCUUAACAAACAAGGGGAAUAUUGUGUGCAAAAUUCACAUUAAAAGCAUGUAUGUUGGGAAAUA